GACGAACGCUGGCGGCGUGCUUAACACAUGCAAGUCGAGCGGUAAGGCCCUUUCGGGGGUACGACGAGCGGCGAACGGGUGAGUAACACGUGGGUGACCUGCCCUCAGCUCUGGGAUAAGACCCGGGAAACUGGGUCUAAUACUGGAUAUGACUCCAUGACGCAUGUUGUGGGGUGGGAAAGCCUUGUGCGGCUGAGGAUGGGCCC
rnacentral:rRNA from 1 species